UGCUCCCGCGUUUGCAUGCAGCAACCGCAGUUUAAACACCAAGUGCGCUGUCGUAUCACCAAUCUGUAGAGUCCACCUCCUUGAUACCGAAAGUGUAACAGUCUCGUAAGAAGCAGUUUCAUAGCAAACUGUUGGCGGUCGUACUGACGCUUGCCGUUAUUUUUCAACAGCCUUUAUGGAAUACUAUCAAAGCACCGGUCUGAGAAUAGUGGUGCACGGACUGAUUGCAUUGAUCCUCGGCAACUACGUCCAGUGUUCGUCAUGCGAUUGGGAUGAAACUUCGUCUCCCUGCCCCCAGCAUGGAAAGAAACCAGAGUUUCCUUGCCCUUACCACGGAUAUGGAGGGCAGGUGCGACGAAAACCAUGCACACCUGGACAAGUCACCUGCCACUGCCCUUCUGAUAAAUAUAGGCGAUCCGACAGGUUCUGCGUGACCUUGCAACAAUGCACUAAGCAAGAGCCAAAACCUGAAAGGAAAGGGCGCGGAUAGUGCAUUCUGUUGGUCUUUCUUUUUGUGCAAGAAUUUUUGGAGCUAUCUUAUAUCUUACUGAGCCAUGUGCAUGUCCUAGCACUUUAAGUGGAUAUUAUUGAGGACUGAAGGAUAAUAAACCAAACAUUACAAAAUAAAUAGUUGGGCGCUUUUGGCA